UACAGAGGUGGCAAGCGUUGUUCGGAAUUACUGGGCGUAAAGGGCGCGUAGGCGGCCUUCUAAGUCAGACGUGAAAUCCCCCGGCUUAACCUGGGAACUGCGUCUGAUACUGGGAGGCUUGAGUAUGGGAGAGGGAUGUAGAAUUCCAGGUGUAGCGGUGAAAUGCGCAGAUAUCAGGAGGAACACCAAUGGCGAAGGCAGCUCGCUGGGACGGUACUGACGCUGAGACGCGAAAGCGUGGGGAGCGAACAGG
rnacentral:rRNA from 1 species